AGCAGCCGCGGUAAUUCCAGCUCCAAUAGCGUAUAUUAAAGUUGUUGCAGUUAAAAAGCUCGUAGUUGAAUUUCGAAAUUUUUUUAUCGGUUGAAUCAACAGGUUCGUACUGAUUUUAAGAAUUUCUACCUUCUGGAGAACCUUAAUGUCAUUUAUUUGAUGUUUUGGGAAACCAGGACUGUUACCUUGAAAAAAUUAGAGUGUUUAAAGCAGGCUUAUGUCUGAAUAUAUUAGCAUGGAAUAAUGAAAUAGGACGGCAUGGUUCUAUUUUGUUGGUUUCUAGGAUCACCGUAAUGAUUAAUAGGGAUAGUUGGGGGCAUUAGUAUUCAAUUGUCAGAGGUGAAAUUCUUGGAUUUAUUGAAGACUAACUUCUGCGAAAGCAUUUGCCAAGAAUGUUUUCAUUAAUCAAGAACGAAAGUUAGAGGUUCGAAGGCGAUCAGAUACCGCCUAGUUCUAACCAUAAACGAUGCCGACCGGCGAUCCGCCGUCGUUAAAUUGAAUGACUCGGCGGGGCAGCCUC
rnacentral:rRNA from 1 species